AGGGGCGUAGCUCAAUUGGUAGAGCAGGACUCUCCAAAAGUCAAGGUUGUCGGUUCGAGCCCGGCCGCCCCUGCAA
rnacentral:tRNA from 4 species